UCGGGUUGGAAGAAAUACAAAGCCCCUAAAGAACAGACCCCUUUUAUGGAAACAUUUUCUGUCCUGUCCCGAUAGUUACUGCUGAAGAUUGCAUGGAGAGAGGUCAACAGCACCAGCAAGGCUCAAUAAGAGCUGAGUAAGCGAGUUUCCAGAAGAGGCCUGCUGAGCCAUGCAGGUGCUGUGAUUGAAGCACGGAAGAGCACACCUCGAAUGUGGAAGUGGGAGGCUGAUUUCACCAGGCUCUUUGGCUGCUCUCAGGCUGUGACGUGCAGGCCACUGCUUCCUCAUCUGGCAGUGCUCAGAAAGAAGGUAGGUUUUAUACAGGAGCUACAUGUGACUAGCUGGGGGCCUCAGCAGAGGGGUAAGGGUGGUGCCCCCAUCCUACUCCACCCCCACUGGACCCUCACAUCCUCGUCCAGCCUAAAUCCAGCUUCUGGGGACCCCACUCUGUAGUAGAGAGCAGCCCUCCUUGCUGACCAGCAUCUGCCUUGGGGAUUCAGAAUGGUCUGGGAAAGCCAUUUGUUGAAAGUGAGCUGGCUGGAUACCGUAUCUCCCUCGUGUAAAUGCAUGGUGUUCAGGAGAGGGAAGGAACCCUGUGGGCAUGAGUGCCAUUGGUGGGCAAUGCCCUGUUUCACAGGGAAGUUCUGGAAUGUGAAGUCAUCUCUGAUCUUGGGCCUGGAAGCCUUACCACAGGCCUGGGACCAUUCAUAGCACUAUCUCGAGGAACCAAUUCUGGUGCUGGCCUGACCUUUGUCACCAGGCAGGCAAAGCACAGUGUGCUCGCAGGUCUGUCAGUAGGCAAGAGAACCAUUGUCCUGCUGAGACACUGUCUCAGCCCCCCAGGGCCCUGGAGGUUUUACUUGUUUGGACUGAAACCAGAGCUGUGUCCUCACAAGACUCAAAGGUGGAUGGGAAGGAUGGUGGAGGGAUAGUGUCAAUGUAAGCAUGGACCUGGACAACUGAGCAGAGUACAUGGCUGAGGUGGGGCAUGGUUGGGGGAGGGGACAGACCAGACCAAAGUGAGGUAGGUGUGAGAUUGCUUCUUUGCCUGCUCUGCUGUUCCCCAAAACCUGUGCCCUGGGCCCCUGACACCUCAGACCCAGUUGGAGCUCCCUCCCACCCCCUGGUAUGGCCCUGGUAGAGCUGCCUGGAGCUGAACAAGAUGUGGCCAGGCUACCCCAGUCAUGUUCCAGGCACCUCCACCGCAGGUGUCAUGAAGAAACAGACUUGAGAAACAGCGCUGGCUAACAGUUGGAGAACACUGAAGCCUCCUCCAGGAGCCAUUCCUCCUGCUCUAGAGGAGUUUCCACUGUUCCUGCCACAGACCUGUGCUCUCCAGAUCUCCAGCUCCUCACAAAGGAAGGACUGCUGCAGGGACUCGGCCUUGUUCUGCCUUUCAGAUGCCCAUCUGUUCCUGACUUCACACUCCCAGGCACAGGGUACACUGAAGAAA
rnacentral:lncRNA from 1 species